GCCGCUUUUCAUACAUGAUAAUAUCUUACUGGCCUUAGUCACUGAUGGCUGACAUUGCACAGAAAUACAAAAUAAUUAGAUGAAAAACAUUGACCCUUGUAGGAACUCAAAAUGUCCUAUCCCAUGCGAUCGGAUACAAUAUACCAGGGGUAGGCAACCUACGGCACUAGUGCCAUGCACGGCACUCGAGGUGCCUUUGCACGGCACUCAAGGCUGCUAGAGCCAAACAGG